UGGUGUUGAGACUCCUCAAGGGAUCAUCAGC
rnacentral:piRNA from 1 species